UACGUAGGGUGCGAGCGUUGUCCGGAAUUAUUGGGCGUAAAGAGCGUGUAGGCGGCUUGUUAAGUCUUGCGUGAAAUCUCGGGGCUCAACCCCGAGCGGUCGUGAGAAACUGGCAGGCUAGAGUGCGGGAGAGGAGAGUGGAAUUCCUGGUGUAGCGGUGAAAUGCGCAGAUAUCAGGAAGAACACCCGUGGCGAAGGCGGCUCACUGGCCCGAUACUGACGCUGAGGCACGAAAGCGUGGGGAGCAAACAGG
rnacentral:rRNA from 1 species